rnacentral:rRNA from 1 species
AUUGAACGCUGGCGGCAGGCCUAACACAUGCAAGUCGAGCGGAGCGGCGGACGGGCGAGUGAUAACUAGGUAUCGGUCUGGGAGAGGGGGAUAAAGAUCGGAAACGGACGCUAAAACCGCAUCCUAUCAGAUGAGGAUAGGUCGGAUUAGCUGGUUGGUGGGGUAAUGGCUCACUAAGGCUACGAUCCGUAACUGGUCUGAGAGGAUGAACAGUCACACUGGAACUUAGACACGGUCCAGACUCCUACGGGAUGCAGCAGUGGGGAAUAUUGGACAAUGGGCGAAAGCCUGAUGCAGCCAUGCCGCGUGUGUGAAGAAGGUCUUCGGGUUGUAAAGCACUUUAAGUUGGGAGGCGUUACCGACAGAAUAAGCACCGGCUAACUCUGUGCCAGCAGCCGCGGUAAUUC